rnacentral:tRNA from 1 species
GAGGGUAUAGCUUAGUGGUAGAGUGUGUACUUUUAGCAUACACAAGGUCCUGGGUUCAAUCCCCAGGACCUCCA